rnacentral:lncRNA from 1 species
CAGAGUUUGAGAAGCUUUUGAAGGUCUUCUAGCUCCUGGUGUAUAAACUCUCUCUGUAAUUCUCUGCUUAAAUUUCUGAUGACAACGUCUUGAAUAUUCUAUAAGAAUGUAACCAAAAGCAGCAGGAGAGGAAAAAAGCGGCUGAUGCCAUGCAGUAGCAAAUGUGUCUGGGAACACUCAAAGAGACACUCCCUUAAGUACAACCGGUACAUCCAUCCAGAGCUCGGGAGCCCUUUAGGGCGAUGUGCAGAGCCAGCAGUUAUUGGUGGGUCCUAAAGGCAGAGAAGCACCGAGACUCCAAUUCACCUUUGGUCUGAAAAACACCAGCUGCAUGCAGAGCGCCAUCCAAGAGUAAGACAAGCAAACAAGAAAGCUCUGAAGUGAAAAUCCUGGUAAAUUACCAAAGGUAGCAAAACUAUUUAAUGACAGAAUUGGAAGCAGAACCUGGCAGUCUAGCCUCCCAAUCCAGUGCAAACAGAUCUGUGUAUUUCGACAACUUUUCAGGCUAUGGUUACCUAAAGAUUAUUUGUGAAGAGAUUUCUUGAAUUAAACACACGCUUUAAGUAUUUUCUACUUGUGAUUAUGUCUUUUAAUUAUGUCAGCAUGUUUUGUUUUUAUGAUUUUUACUUCUGAUAAAAUCUUACCGAAG